rnacentral:lncRNA from 1 species
ACAAAUUAGCGGAAAAUAUCCAAAAAACACUGUUCCAUUAAAAUUUUCUAAAACUCUUGAAGAUUUUUUAUUUCUGAAACAAUCCAUAGAUAAUCGGAGGUUUGAAAUGGCUUAAACCGGUUGGUUUCAAGUGUUUAGGUUCGAGUUUUUGGUUGCAUUUGAUUACUGGACAUUAUUGGAUCCUUCUGCUGGUUGGAGUUUGGUUCAAAACUGGUUUUCCUUCCGUUAUUUUUGGGCUGUGUUGUUGCUGUGUUGUUCAGCUGCUGACCUUUUGCUGUUUAUUUCAUUUUCCAGGUACAUUUUACACUCCACCUCAUGUGUAAACUGAUUUGAUGAAUGAAGAUGGAAAUUCUGCAAUUUCAAUAUGUUUUCAGCCUUCUACUAUGAAUUUAACCUUGUUACUGUUUCAUUUAUGGGUUCUACAACUUAGAUCAUUGCCCUUUUGUAAUUAAUUUUAAUCUGAGUAAAUGUUUUGCGA